ACGAACGCUGGCGGCGUGCUUAACACAUGCAAGUCGAACGGAAAGGCCCUGCUUUUGUGGGGUGCUCGAGUGGCGAACGGGUGAGUAACACGUGAGUAACCUGCCCUUGACUUUGGGAUAACUUCAGGAAACUGGGGCUAAUACCGGAUAGGAGCUCCUGCUGCAUGGUGGGGGUUGGAAAGUUUCGGCGGUUGGGGAUGGACUCGCGGCUUAUCAGCUUGUUGGUGGGGUAGUGGCUUACCAAGGCUUUGACGGGUAGCCGGCCUGAGAGGGUGACCGGCCACAUUGGGACUGAGAUACGGCCCAGACUCCUACGGGAGGCAGUAGUGGGGAAUAUUGCACAAUGGGCGGAAGCCUGAUGCAGCAACGCCGCGUGCGGGAUGACGGCCUUCGGGGUGUAAACCGCUUUCGCCUGUGACGAAGCGUGAGUGACGGUAAUGGGUAAAGAAGCACCGGCUAACUACG
rnacentral:rRNA from 1 species